rnacentral:rRNA from 1 species
GACGAACGCUGGCGGCGUGCUUAACACAUGCAAGUCGAACGGAAAGGCCCUGCUUUUGUGGGGUGCUCGAGUGGCGAACGGGUGAGUAUCACGUGUGUAACCUGCCCUUGACUUUGGGAUAACUUCAGGAAACUGGGGCUAUUACCGGAUAGGAGCUCCUGCUGCAUGGUGGGGGUUGGAAAGUUUCGGCGGUUGGGGAUGGACUCGCGGCUUAUCAGCUUGUUGGUGGGGUAGUGGCUUACCAAGGCUUUGACGGGUAGCCGGCCUGAGAGGGUGACCGGCCACAAUGGGACUGAGGUAGGGCCCAGAGGGCUACGGGAGGCAGCAGUGGGAAAUAUUGCACAAUGGGCGGAAGCCGGAUGCAGCAACGCCGCGUGCGGGAUGACGGCCGGCGGGGAAUAAACCGCGUUAGCCUGUGACGAAGCGUGAGUGACGGUAAUGGGUAAAGAAGCACCGGCUAACUACGUG